CUGCGACCGUAAUGCGCCUUCUACGCGACUUACGAUUCCUGUUUCCCGGAACCCUAAUUUCUGGCUUGCCGAUUCUCUGCCUCGGCUGCGGAACCGGUGGUACGUUCGUUCUGUUCCGACUCGCGGUAGUCGGUACGUUGGUCGUAACCGAGCCAACUGUAGUCGUGACCGCAGCAUUUGUCUGAUUCUCUGUCUGCAACCAUUGUGCCGCCACAUCCUGCGCGGGUUCCUGUUCCUGCUCCGGUUGCGACGGUGGAACUUCACCCAGGACUAUCAUGCGGGACUCACCGCCUACGAUCGGAUUGAAAGGAUUACAGAAUUAAACGAGGUAUUCACUCCAGAAGAAUUAUUAACGAUUUUAAACGUGUUUUGCAUGUUAAACAGUUUAGUAAUAAAAUGACUGUGCAUAUUUAAACCGAACAUACUGCGUGUCAACAUAAUUCUUUACAAUGGCUCUACUUGCGACGAUCGCGACGUCCAACCGGAAGUUACUAGUUCUGUUGAUUCUUCAACAAUCUUUUGCCUCGACUUGACGAUCUCACAGCCUGUGAAUCAAGACGUUCGUCAAUUUGAAACAUUCCAGUUAAGAUCUCAUAAAUCCAUUGUUUCUCUUCGUUCGAUAAACAAUCAGAAAUAUUGGAUUACCAGCGUCCAAGCUGUUCUUCUUGUUCAUCUGUUCGUUUUAUCCAUCCUGUCAAAUCCUUGGCCCACCGUGAUGCUUGCAGAUCCACUGGUAGGGACUGUACAUCAAGCACACGUGCUCGUUAGUGUGCCUAUCCUCCUUUGCACUUGACUUACUCGUACACGUUUAGACGCAACCCGAUUGAAUUUCACGCUCGAGCUGCACCUUUUACUUUUUCCCCGGAAACGCGCGAACGAGACAGAACAAGAAACAAGUAAAUGCGGAUGAAGAGAGGAAACCAAUGAGCGAGGCCAACAGUACGAAUGAGCGACACGCGAGAAAUCAAGCAAAGAUUUAGCGGUCGCGUUGUACGAUGACGUUUCGGGCGACGUCAGCUCUCGCCCCCUUGUGUGCUUUCGGUUAUUGAUCGCACGAACGGUCUGGGGCUUGCGAUGCUUUAAGCCGACCUACCGUCGCGAAUCAUGAUUCAUACAGAUCGACCCUUCUCUAUUGCGAUAAAAAGUAUUCGUCACGAUCCGUACCACCCCCAACGGACAAUGACUAAACACGAAAAUUAUUAUCUGUUGACCAAAACCGUUACACUGGUCUCUUUAUUGCAAAGUAACCAAUGUGUUUAAUUUAGAGAAUAUUUAAUAGUAUAUAUAUCGAAAUAUCAAA
rnacentral:misc_RNA from 1 species